UCCUUCUUAUCGAAGGCAGUUUUCGAAGAGUGCAUCCCUUGCGGGAUUAGCAACAUCGAAUAGGGGUUGCGCUCGUUGCGGGACUUAACCCAACAUCUCACGACACGAGCUGACGACAACCAUGCAGCACCUCUGCGGACUCUCUUGCGAGUCAGCCAAUGUUUCCAUCGGCUUACCAUCCGUAGUUCAAGCCCAGGUAAGGUUUUUCGCGUUGCGUCGAAUUAAACCACAUGCUCCACCGCUUGUGCGGGCCCCCGUCAAUUCCUUUGAGUUUCAAUCUUGCGAUCGUACUUCCCAGGUGGAUUACUUAAUGCUUUCGCUCAGACACCAACAGUGUAUCGCUGAUGUCGAGUAAUCAUCGUUUAGGGCGUGGACUAC
rnacentral:misc_RNA from 1 species